AACAUGAUAAACCAUAAGACAUUCUAAUUGUAAGUAAUGGUUAGUUAAUAUUUGAUUGUUCACUAAGUAAUAUAUCUAUAUAUACAUUUUUGCAGCCACUUUGUGAAAUAAAUCCUAGAGUUGGAAUUUAUUUACAGUGGCUGCCACUGGCAUUUAAUAAUUGUUUUUGAUAAUUAGAAAGAAAAUCUUUGAAUUAAAUAUUUGACAAUCUUCCCAAAAUCUCUUCACAUUAACUACACGAUUAGUUAUUAAAAUAAAACUUCCGAAAUAUUUAAUAUCAUUUAAUUACUACAAAAUUAUCAUUUUGAUAUUGUUUUUCUACAUGACUAUAAUAAUUCGAUUAUAAUCAUCAAACCGCAGAGAUAUUAGAUAGCAUUUAAUUACUACAAAAUUAAAAAAUAUUUAGACAAUGAUUCAUAAACAUAUCAUAAAUAAAAUCAGUGAGUUUUUUUUACGGGACGGAUUGGCGGGACGUUACUUAAUAACAAUCGUAAACUAUAAAAUAAAAAUAUUUU
rnacentral:sRNA from 1 species